GGAAAAAGGCAAAUUCGUUGAAAGAUGAAGACGCAAAGCUUUAGGGGCUAACGUACAUAUACGAUGCCAGCCAGUUACCGA
rnacentral:ncRNA from 1 species